rnacentral:lncRNA from 1 species
CUCGAAACAGUUAAUGGAGGCCUGCCAGGUGCUGGUGCUGGGCUGGCGUUGGGGCCUUCACACAGGAGGGCGAGCCUGAGACCCUCUGACGCACUCCUCCUUGCCUCGGCACAGCUCCAGCCAGGGGGACUGAGGGAAGGCUUCCCAGAGGCGGUGACCCUGACAUUGGGUUCCCAGGAGUGAAGAACAUUUUGACAAUCAGCAAGGAGAGCGUUCCAGACGAGGAAGCUGCAUGUUGAGGGAUCAAGAGGUCUGCUGUGUGACCUUCUUCAAGUUCCUGACCCUCUCUGGGCUGCAGUCACCUUAUUCAGAAAAUGGAGAGGCUAGACAAGAAAAUGAUGCUAAUCUCACCCUUUUCUGGGCUGGCAUUUUAUUGAGCACCUACUAGGCGCUGGGCAUUUUGCUAGGCCCUUCGUGCACACUGCCAUGAGAAAUCCACAGCAACCCCAGAGAUGGGUUCAUCAAUAACUCACCAGCAAAUACUUCCUGAGGCCCCACUGUGUGCCGAGCAUGGGCAUAGGUACUGGGCACACCUCGAUGAACAAGGGAGGUAAGGAUGUGACUCUCCUAGAACUUUCUGUCGAGAAGAGGAGAUGGAGAAUAAACAUGGAAACAAGCAAGAUCAUUCUGGAGAAAAUGCAAUCAGAUGAUGUGCUAGAUGGUAACAGAGAGAGGUCGAAUGAGAGAGAGGGCCGUGACAGCCUCUCUGAGAAGCUGAAAUCCAAGCAGAACCUGAAAGACGAGGAGAAACUCAGAUACAUAAAGACUGGGAAAAGCAUUCAAGUAGAGGGAACAGUGCGUGCAAAGGCCCUGAGGUGGGUGCAGUAGAUACCACAGGCCCCCUCACUCGAGACCACUCCAAGCACCUCCUGCCCUCUUGUGCCACAGAGCUCAGAAAGCUAAAGCAAUGUUCCCCAGAGGUCCUGUGGCCAAGGUCCUGCAUGGGCCUGGGUGACCCCUGCAGAAGCUUCUGAGCAAGACUGAGCAGGGAAAGAAAGGCCAUGUCAGAAAACCAUCCUCCAGCGAGCAUGGAGGCAGAGAGUCUCAUCCUGGCAUCCCAGGUGCUGAGCAGAGCAGACAGCAGCAGAGGGGCUCCCUAGAGCAGCUGGGGGCCCUGCCUGUGCCGUCGCUCUUUCCCCUCCCUGCCCUCUGGUCUGACAUCCCAUUGGCAUCACACACGAUGCCUCCCGGAGGUGCUCUUGUGCACACAGCAGGUCAAAGUGCCAGAGAAUUAGAUCCUGUCCUCUUGGGAACAGCCCUCAGCCAGCAGUGAGCCCUUAGGAGGAUGCUCCAAGCUCUAUCCUCCCCGGGUCCAGAGGCCCUGGGAUGGAGCGCCAUUGUGGAAGCAGUGACAACUUGAUGAAGCUCCCUGGGCUGGCCCCUUCCUCUCUGCCUUGUUCCCCGUUCCCUGCAGUCCUGCAAUCACCUCCCAAAUAAAC